rnacentral:pre_miRNA from 1 species
UACCAGUAGCAGUUAAGCUGCCAGCAUGAUCUUGUCUUUCUCUCUUAAGUUUCAUAUAUAUAUAUAUAUAUGUAUAAUUAAGUAACUUAGGAUAUUAUAUAUAUAUUUCUUGUUCUUAUAUGAUCCUAGCUUAGAGAGAGAGAGACUAGGUCAUGCUGGUAGCUUCACCUGCUAAUGAU